AAACUGUGACUCCUCCCCCUGCUUCUCUCUUUGUGCUGCUGCUGGAUGUUGGGCUGCCACAGGUAUGUCUUCAUUGUUUUAUUUGCUGUCUUUGUGGUCUGUCAGCUCCAUGUUCAUAGCUUGUUUUGUGCUUCAGAACAACUGUUGUGCCUCUGGCGUGUCUGUGUGGUGAGUUUGUCUCUCCCUUUCACUUGCUGUGCUAUUGUGAUGCUAAUCGUUGCUAAUGCUAGUGUGGUCGCAGGUGAGAUGCAGAUAGCUGUUUGGGUCUCACUCUGUCUCUCCCUCCCCUCGGUUUUGUGUGUGUUUGUGUGCCUGCUGCUGUAGAAAAGUAUGGCUAUCAAUGUAGGUCACAACCACAGCAUUAUAGUUUUUGUUAUUGAUACAAUUUCUAAAAGGUAAGGUUGGACUAAAUGAUGGUCUGUCAUCUGCUGUUUCUCCUGCUCUGCUUGCUGCUUUGUCAUACCUCCAUUUAUCCCAAUGACUUAUCCCCCAUUGCAAACUUUCACACUCAGUACCUACUGCAUCACUUGUGCACUUUGUAAAUAUUUUUUAUAUGUUUAUAUAUUUUUGUAUCCUUAUAUUAUUGUAUUCUUCCAAGUACUUGUAGCGUGUUUUAUCUGUACUUGUUUGAGUCAAGCGGUCCUUGUCAUCCAGGGCAUUUCAUUGCGUUGUUGACUUUGGUUUAUUUGUCAUUUGCAGGUUAAACAAUCUUGAAUCUGCUUUGUCUCCCAUUUGCUCCCUUUGGCCUCCCUGCUGCCUUUGCUCGGGCCCUUACAGCGCUUAUCAGGCCUGCUGUUAGCUGUCUGUCUCCUUCCUGGAGAACUUCUAUUGGUUGCAUUUGUGUUUUAAAGGUGUGAUUGAGCGUUGGGGAUAUUUGUCCUUUUUGUUUGGGUUGAUUUGUUAGAGUUGGACUUCAUUUUGUUUUGGGCUAUUGUUUAUAGGUGUAUUCUUUUUGUUUGAUUUAUUUGGGUUUAGUGAACUUCCUACUCCUUUUUUAGCUUCCUGUUUGGUUUUUGGUAGUUUGUGGGUUUUAUUUUGGGUUUGCAGGUAGUUUUUGUUUUGAAAAUUUUAUUUGAACAGUUAAUUUAUGUAAACCAUAGGUUUUUUUUAAAAUUUUUUUUUUUUUUUUUUUGUGUUUUGCUUGUGUUGCUUUAUUAUCUUGACCCCACCACUAAUUGUUUUAUUUCUCUUUCAGUUGCUGAGGGCCAGUGGUGGUGCUGGUGAUAUGCAGCUUUAGGUGGUUUCUUCCCCCUUUGUGUCCUGUGUCUCCCUGAGCGGAUUUCUCCCCCCUCCUUCACUAGCCCCCUAUCCAUCAGGUAAGCCUCAGCACCUGUUUGUUUUUCCCCUGCCCUCCUGUGCGAGUG